rnacentral:rRNA from 1 species
GCAGAGCCACUCCUACGGGAGGCAGCAGUGGGGAAUAUUGCACAAUGGGCGCAAGCCUGAUGCAGCCAUGCCGCGUGUAUGAAGAAGGCCUUCGGGUUGUAAAGUACUUUCAGCAGUGAGGAAGGUGGGUAUGUUAAUAGCAUACUCAUUUGACGUUAGCUGCAGAAGAAGCACCGGCUAACUCCGUGCCAGCAGCCGCGGUAAUACGGAGGGUGCGAGCGUUAAUCGGAAUUACUGGGCGUAAAGCGCAUGCAGGUGGUUUGUUAAGUCAGAUGUGAAAGCCCGGGGCUCAACCUCGGAAUUGCAUUUGAAACUGGCAAACUAGAGUACUGUAGAGGGGGUAGAAUUUCAGGUGUAGCGGUGAAAUGCGUAGAGAUCUGAAGGAAUACCGGUGGCGAAGGCGGCCCCCUGGACAGAUACUGACACUCAGAUGCGAAAGCGUGGGGAGCAAACAGGAUUAGAUACCCUGGUAG